rnacentral:rRNA from 1 species
AGUCGAGCGAGUCUGCCUUGAAGAUCGGAGUGCUUGCACUCUGUGAAACAAGAUACAGGCUAGCGGCGGACGGGUGAGUAACACGUGGGUAACCUGCCCAAGAGAUCGGGAUAACACCUGGAAACAGAUGCUAAUACCGGAUAACAACAGAUAAUGCCUAUCAACUGUUUAAAAGAUGGUUCUGCUAUCACUCUUGGAUGGACCUGCGGUGCAUUAGCUAGUUGGUAGGGUAACGGCCUACCAAGGCGAUGAUGCAUAGCCGAGUUGAGAGACUGAUCGGCCACAUUGGGACUGAGACACGGCCCAAACUCCUACGGGAGGCAGCAGUAGGGAAUCUUCCACAAUGGACGCAAGUCUGAUGGAGCAACGCCGCGUGAGUGAAGAAGGGCUUCGGCUCGUAAAGCUCUGUUGUUGGUGAAGAAGGACAGGGGUAGUAACUGACCUUUGUUUGACGGUAAUCAAUUAGAAAGUCACGGCUAACUACGUGCCAGCAGCCGCGGUAAUACGUAGGUGGCAAGCGUUGUCCGGAUUUAUUGGGCGUAAAGCGAGUGCAGGCGGCUCGAUAAGUCUGAUGUGAAAGCCUUCGGCUCAACCGGAGAAUUGCAUCAGAAACUGUCGAGCUUGAGUACAGAAGAGGAGAGUGGAACUCCAUGUGUAGCGGUGAAAUGCGUAGAUAUAUGGAAGAACACCGGUGGCGAAGGCGGCUCUCUGGUCUGUUACUGACGCUGAGGCUCGAAAGCAUGGGUAGCGAACAGGAUUAGAUACCCUGGUAGUCCAUGCCGUANACGAUGAGUGCUAAGUGUUGGGAGGUUUCCGCCUCUCAGUGCUGCAGC